rnacentral:lncRNA from 1 species
UCAGCGGCAGGCAGCAGGUGGUGGCGGGGAUGAACUACGACCUCGUCAUCGAGGCCACGGACGGCGCCGCCAAGGGGAGGUACGAGGCGGUGGUCUACGAGCGGGCCUGGGAGAAUUACAGGAGCCUCACCUCCUUCAAGCGCAAGACCUGAACACGACGACGACGGUGGCACGGUGAGUAAUGGCUGACAUUCCCUACUCUGACUGAUAUGCUGGGAAGAAAACUUCGGCAGAAACCGACUGUUCAUCUCCGGAUGCUGUGAUCCGGUUUCCUUCCUUCCUCUCUCCUUCUGUGAUUGUUCCCGCUUUCUCACUGCCCGAAAAGGGGGAAAUCGCCGUGCUGAAGAUGAUGGAGUGGCUCUUGGAGGCUCCGCCCCCUCCGCCAGAGCAGCCGAGGAAGAAAUCAAACCAGACGGAUGCCUGAAUUACAGUUACUGACGUCAUAAAAUGCCUAAAUUGCCUUGAAACCCUAAUCGACCUGUUGACCCGCGAUGGUGAACUCGUAGAAGAAGAUUAUCACAAAGUCUAUCCGAGUGGUCAUAAGGUUGAACUUUGUUCCCAAUCGAUUGGGUCAUGCAAAUAGCAAUGUUACCUUUGAUUUUCACAAUGCCUCGAUCUUUGAAUGAGUAUGAGGUGGAGAAAUUUAGGUUUUUGAAACCAUAAAUAACCUAAUUAAUGAAAGAAAUAUGGUGAAAGAUGAACCAGCAAAAUACGAUUGGAGCAAGAGGGCCUAGUGGGUUAACCUAAAUGGAGGGUUGGGUCGAUCCCGGCUGACCUCGUGAACAUUUUUUGCAUGAUGGCUGACUCAUUUAACGCGCCCAUGUUGCUUUUAUCACUGCAUCAUUUAAAAUAAGAACAUCGAUCAAAAAUAUUUUACGAUACCAGUAAUCUCUUCUAAAAUUAUCAUCAUAUCUUAAAAAUCGCCAGCCUUAUUAUCAACAACCUCAUAUAUGGUUCAUAUUAACGGCUAUCAUAGGCCAACUAGGCUAAAAUUCAUUAAGAGUCUAAGAUGAAACUAAUGAACCCAGUUCUUAAAGCUAACAAUGUGGAGGUCCAUAUAACUUUAUUAUCGAUUUGAUUAAUUUGCAUGGGCUCCUUUUUGUCAUUUUCCACGAACAAGGGUAAUUGUGAAGCAGAGCUCAUAUCUUUGAUGAUAAACCAUACAAUAUUCAACUUUUAUUUUAUCAUCCACAUCGUCUGAAUAAUUCAGGAGAGCGGAGCUACUGUGCAAAAUCUUUACAACCAUUGACCUUGAAUGGCAGAAAUGAUAACAAUCGAUAUUCAAGUCCAUCUUACACCAGACACUUGGAGUUGCAUGUUAUGGGCUGCAUGAAAAAGAAGUCUAGCUGAAGAUAUGCAGAUGUUUGACUAGGAUAGAAUUCAUGAAGAGAGUGGGGGGUGGGUUGACUUCCCAGCGUUGGUUACCUCUCUCUCAGUAAGAAAUUACCAUAACUGGAGCUUUCCCACCACGAUUAAGAGCCCCACUAAAACCCUAGCCUCCCCACCUGGACACACGUGAUAAAUGGCCGCUCUCUGGUAUCCACCAGUGCAAAGUUUGUGGGGCACUUACACUUCAACCCCUCGAGCUGGUGUCUAGAUCUCUGGCGGCUUGCCUUCGAAGGGGGUGGAGUCCAGCUGUCAGCCAAAGAAAACUAUGAUUGUUAGCUCCCCUCUUUAUCCAUUUCCGCCCCACCACGCCACGCCACCUGAUCCCCACCACCGACAACCAUGAGAAACCGCGCACCGCUCGCGUGGCUCCUUCUCUGGGCGUGUCUGGCGGCGGGAUUAAAUAUCGAUGACGUGGAGGACCCCCGCAUCAAGACGCUCCACCAGCUCGCGGUCUAGGAGUGGGAAUAGAGUGGCCGACAAGAAAUUGGUCUUUCCCCCCGCAGUCAACGGCGUGCGGAAGAUAUUUAUUACACGUAGAGCGAGAUGUGCUGUCCCUGAAUUCACGAGUCGACAGGCAUUUACAGCUCAUCCGAAAAAGUAAGAAAAAAUUUGAUAUAGCGGUUAAGAUUUAUAUAAGAUAAGCGAUGAACAGUAACUGACGAUCGGAAGUUGGGGCUAAAUGUAGGCCUCAGAAUUGCAGAAUAACAGCAUGGCCAGGGGCCUUUCAGUCCCGAAAGAUGGUUGAUUUACUGUUUGAUCUCGUCAUCGGCCAAGAAUAAGUGAAAAGAAGCAGAUCAUAGAUCUAGCUAGAUGCCGAACACGAAAAAAGAGGCAGAUCUCACGCGACCAGGAUUAGAUAAGCACGGAUAACUAAGGGUGAAACUUUUCCAUGAACAGAAAUAAUGGACCUCAGAAUUGCAGAAUGACAUCAUGGCCUGAGGCCAUUCAGUCCCGAAAGAUGGUUAAUGAUGAGUUUUCAUCACAGGUCGCGUAUAUAAAGCGAUAGGGAAGAAUAGGUAUUUACUCAUUUUAUUAUGGAAAUGUGGGGAGCUGACUGUUAAGAUUACCAAAAUACAAAAAAACCGAUUCAGAAACCGGAUCAGAUUAAAUCGGACACUAGCGAGAUCGAUCAAGACCAUGCAGCCAAAAUCAUACAAGGUAGUGACUGAACACCAUCUAGUUUACCGUCAAAACAUCAUGCGACAGAGAAAAACAUAAACGCUCAAAGCAUUCAAACUUCUAAGACGAGACGAGAACACUGACAGAGAUUAUAGAACCACAAAAUAGACACCAAGAGGAAAGAGAACGAAAGUUCCUUCACACCAUCUGCCUCCCACGAUGCAUCACGGAGUCCGGGGAGAGCCACCGCACAGUCUGGCAGUAGAAGAACGCAUACCAUAAUCGAUCUGGAAAUGAUCGCGUAGAUCGAUAAAAAGGUCGAAACGAGUAUACGCUCCCAAUCGCGGUUCUUCCGCGGUCGAGAAGAAGAGACGAAAGAAAAACAGCGCACCAUUCCGCGGCUCGAAAACCUUCCUAAGGUCUUCAUCCGCCGGGACGCCACAGCACCCGCUGUGAACUUCGUAGAAGCUAUACGCUCCUCGAAAACGCAGGUAGAGAAGGAAAUGGCGCCACAGACGUUGAACGAAGAAGGAUCACAGAACCCUAGCCUCAGAAACCAAAACCCUAAUCCCCUCAUCGCUCCGCCGCCGAUGCCGGU